UACGGAGGGUGCAAGCGUUAUCCGGAAUCACUGGGCGUAAAGGGCGCGUAGGCGGUCUGUUAAGUCUGGCGUUAAAGCCUGGGGCUCAACCCCAUAUCAGCGUUGGAUACUGGCAGGCUAGACGGCUGGAGAGGCGAGUGGAAUUACCAGUGUAGCGGUGGAAUGCGUAGAUACUGGUAGGAACACCCAUUGCGAAGGCAGCUCGCUGGACAGCACGUGACGCUGAGGCACGAAAGCAUGGGUAGCGAACAGGA
rnacentral:rRNA from 1 species